rnacentral:rRNA from 1 species
UNANNACAUGCAAGUCGAACGCUGAAGCUAGGNGCUUGCACUGGGUGGAUGAGUGGCGAACGGGUGAGUAAUACGUGAGUAACCUGCCCUUGACUCUGGGAUAAGCCUGGGAAACUGGGUCUAAUACUNGGAUAUGACCUCCUGUCGCAUGGUGGGGGGUGGAAAGGGUUUGUACUGGUUGUGGAUGGGCUCACGGCCUAUCAGCUUGUUGGUGGGGUAAUGGCCUACCAAGGCAACGACGGGUAGCCGGCCUGAGAGGGUGACCGGCCAGACUGGGACUGANACACCGCACANACUCCUACGGGAGGCAGCAGUGGGGAAUAUUGCACANCGGGCGCAAGCCUGAUGCAGCGACNCCGCGUGAGGGAUGACGGCCUUCGGGUUGUAAACUUCUUUCAGCACGGAAGAAGCGAAAGUGACGGUACGUGCANAAGAAGCGCCGGCUAACUACGUGCCAGCAGCCGCGGUAAUACGUAGGGCGCAAGCGUUGUCCGGAAUUAUUGGGCGUAAAGAGCUCGUAGGCGGUUUGUCGCGUCUGCUGUGAAAGCCCGGGGCUUAACCCCGGGUGUGCAGUGGGUACGGGCAGACUUGAGUGCAGUAGGGGAGACUGGAACUCCUGGUGUAGCGGUGAAAUGCGCAGAUAUCAGGAAGAACACCGAUGGCGAAGGCAGGUCUCUGGGCUGUUACUGAC